rnacentral:rRNA from 1 species
UAAUACGAGGGGAGCAAGCGUUGUUCGGAAUCAUUGGGCGUAAAGGGCGCGUAGGCGGCCGUACCAGUCUGGGGUGAAAGCCCUCGGCUCAACCGAGGAAUUGCCUUGGAAACUGUACGGCUUGAGUAUUGGAGAGGAAAGCGGAAUUCCCAGUGUAGCGGUGAAAUGCGUAGAUAUUGGGAGGAACACCUGUGGCGAAGGCGGCUUUCUGGACAAUCACUGACGCUGAGGCGCGAAAGCCAGGGGAGCAAACGGGAUUAGAUACCCCGGUAGUCCUGGCUGUAAACGAUGGAUACUUGGUGUGGGAGGUAUUGAGUCCUCCCGUGCCGACGAUAACUCAGUAAGUAUCCCGCCUGGGGAGUACGGUCGCAAGACUG